UACGAAGGGGGCUAGCGUUGCUCGGAAUCACUGGGCGUAAAGGGUGCGUAGGCGGGUCUUUAAGUCAGGGGUGAAAUCCUGGAGCUCAACUCCAGAACUGCCUUUGAUACUGAGGAUCUUGAGUUCGGGAGAGGUGAGUGGAACUGCGAGUGUAGAGGUGAAAUUCGUAGAUAUUCGGAAGAACACCAGUGGCGAAGGCGACAUACUGGUCCGUUACUGACGCUGAGGCUCGAAAGCGUGGGGAGCAAACAGG
rnacentral:rRNA from 1 species